rnacentral:miRNA from 1 species
UCGGCCUGGGGAGGAGGAAGGG